rnacentral:lncRNA from 1 species
CUCCGGGCGCCAUCGUUUCUGUUGCUUGAAGCUAUUGAGUUCUUUUCAAAACAUUCAUGCUUAUUUGUCCGGAUAGGAACAUGGAAAGGAGGCAAAGCUGCCUUCUUUUAGCAAAGAGACAAGACGGCGGGUAGAAGACACUGAGAACCUCGGCAAGACUCCUGGGCCACUCCCUGCAGGGAGACGCAGGAGCAACUUUAAGGGAAUGAGAGAAGGGAGACGUGGAGGGACCUGCAGGAGGUGGGUAGGGCAGAGAGAGACGAGCUGGGGUGGAGAAAACCCACAGGUUCAGGAGCUACAUGAGCAGGGUCCUUUAUUUAUGGGGUCGCCGGCCAGAUGGAGACUCUGAGAAGGCCAUAGAUGUUGUUUCAGAAGAAUGAAUCCACUCUCACAUUUUCAUGCAAUCUCAGGGUAUUGAAGACUCAGCCCAUGGAUGCGCUGGUCAGGAAAUCCUGCAACUCGGGGUUGCUGUGGCUUCCAGCAAAAACAGAAACAGAAAGAUGACCUUGGUCCAGCCUUGAGAACCAUGGCGGAUGAGAGGGGCCCCCGACGAGUCACGGACCUGAGACUUCAUGACCUCCAGUCCUUACUCAGGUGCCUCCCACGUGCAGGUGGCAGCAUAGACUGUCUGCCCUGGCUGUGGCAGCAGACGCGAGGACGGAUAAGCACCAGGGCUUGCUGGGGUCGGGAGGUGGACACGCGUAGUAAACAUUCAGUGACAUUUCAAUGAGCAACAUCAUCAUCUUCCUUGUCAUCAUCACCUUCAUCAACCUGAUGUCCUGCUACUCUGGGAUGUCUGAUGGAAUUUCCAAAGUAAGGCCCUCGACCACGAAACAUGAGCUUGUUCCUGCCUCCUGGGGAAUGACUGCAGGGUGUGUGACUCUGCUGGAGUGGUACACGCCCUUGGUGGGUGUGGGCUCGUGGUGCAGGCUGGCAGAUGCCAGGUGAGGCCCACCCCUUGCCCUCAGGUACUGAGCCCCACCUCGGUCCUUGUGAGGUCUGCCCUGAGGCUGGUUGCCCCUGCCAUGCAUUUAUUUUUUUCAUCCCUAAGGAAAACUCAUACUCACCUUUGCUGAGAGCUCCAUUUAUUUUUAUCUGUUAUUUAUUCUCCUGACUCAUGAAAUUGCACCCUUCAGGAUGCCAGUACAAAAUGUUUUAAAAAAUUGGUAAAAAUGCAUGAAGU